UACGGAGGGUGCAAGCGUUAAUCGGAAUUACUGGGCGUAAAGGGCGCGCAGGCGGCUCUGAAAGUCAGAUGUGAAAGCCCCGGGCUUAACCUGGGAAUUGCAUUUGAUACUCUGGAGCUUGAGUACGGGAGAGGAGAGUGGAAUUCCCAGUGUAGAGGUGAAAUUCGUAGAUAUUGGGAAGAACACCGGUGGCGAAGGCGGCUCUCUGGACCGUAACUGACGCUGAGGUGCGAAAGCGUGGGGAGCGAACAGG
rnacentral:rRNA from 1 species